rnacentral:rRNA from 1 species
AUUUGUCUGGUUAAUUCCGAUAACGAACGAGACCUUAACCUGCUAACUAGAUCCAAUUAUCCGAUUUUUGCGAUCUUCUUAGGGGGACUAUGUAAUAAAAAUACAUGGAAGUUUGAGGCAAUAACAGGUCAGUGAUGCCCUUAUAUGUCCUGGGCUGCACGCGUGCUACACUGAUGCAUACAACAAGUGCCUAGCCAGACAUGGUAUGGCAAUCUCGAAUAUGCAUCGUGAUGGGGAUAGAUCUUUGCAAUUAUAGAUCUUGAACGAGGAAUUCCUAGUAAGUGCAAGUCAUCAUCUUGCAUUGAUUAUGUCCCUGCCCUUUGUACACACCGCCCGUCGCUCCUACCGAUACCGGGUGAUCCGGUGAACCUUUUGGACUCCGUACGGGGGAAGAUAAGUAAACCAUAUCACCUAGAGGAAGGAGAAGUCGUAACAAGGUUUCCGUAGGUGAACCUGCRGAAGGAUCA